GUCUGUGUCAAUCACAAACAGCGGCGAUUUUUACCUGGCCGAAGGGGGAUCAGCAUGAACCCCUAUGUGGGUUUGGUGAGCAGCCUGCGCGCUGCCUGGCUUACGGGGAAGACACGCGCAGCUGAGCACCGGGUCUCCCAGCUGGAGGCGCUGCGCCGCUUCCUGGAUGAGAAGAAACAGCCCAUCCUGGAUGCCAUGGCCUCGGACAUGCGCAAGCCCUCCUUCGAGGUGGAGCUCUCUGAGAUUAUCAUGGUCAAGAACGAGGUCAACUACGCGCUCAACAACCUGUCCAGCUGGAUGAAGGACAAGGGUGUGGACAAGAACCUGGUGACUCAGCUGGACACGGCCUUCAUCCGGAAGGAGCCCUAUGGAGUGGUGCUGAUCAUUGGGCCCUGGAACUACCCCUUGCAGCUCAUUCUGGUGCCCCUGGUUGGGGCCAUUGUGGCCGGGAACUGUGUGAUCAUCAAACCAUCCGAGAUCUGCAGCAGCUCUGAGAAGCUCCUGGCUGAGACGCUGCCCAGCUACCUGGACAAGGACUGCUUUGCUGCGGUGACCGGGGGCCCUGCAGAGAUGACUCAGCUGCUGGAAAACAAGUUUGACUACAUCUUCUUCACGGGCAGCCCCCAAGUGGGCAAGAUAGUGAUGGCAGCUGCGGCCAAGCACCUGACGCCGCUGACGCUGGAGCUGGGGGGCAAGAACCCCUGCUACGUGGCCGAUGAGAGCGACCUGCAGAACGUGGCCAACCGGCUGGUCUGGGGGCGCUGCUUCAACGCGGGACAGACCUGCGUCGCGCCCGACUACGUGCUGUGCAGCGUAGAGACGCAGGAGAAGCUGCUGCUCGCCCUGCGCCACGCCAUCACCCAGUUCUUCGGCCCCGAGCCCCGGGAGUCGCCCGACUUCGCCCGCAUCAUCAGUGACAAGCAGUUCCAGCGCAUCCGGGCCCUGCUGGGCAGCGGGCGUGUAGCCAUCGGGGGGCAGACGGACGAGAGGGAUCGCUACAUCGCCCCCACGGUGCUGGCGGAUGUGCAGCCGUCAGACCCUGCCAUGCAGGAGGAGAUCUUCGGGCCUGUCCUGCCUAUCGUCACCGUGCCCAACGUGGACGAAGCCAUCGCCUUCAUCAACCGCCGGGAGCGGCCACUGGCAGUGUACGUCUUCGCCUCCGACAGCAAGCUGGUGCGUCGGGUGCUGGAGCGGACGAGCAGUGGCGGUUUUGGUGCCAACGACACCAUAAUGCAGAUGACGCUAAUCUCGCUGCCCUUCGGUGGGAUUGGGAACAGUGGGCUGGGCUCGUACCACGGCAAGUUCAGCUUUGACACCUUCUCUCACCACCGCGCCUGCCUCCUGCGCAGCCUGGGCCUGGAGACCGUGAACGCCCUGCGCUACCCACCCUACAGCGAGCGCAAAAUGGGGCUGGUGCUCUCCACCUUCAGGAUCAAUCGCACGGGCACCUGCAUCCUGCUGUGACGGGAGGGUCGGCCCAGCCCGGCCACCCAGCAUCACACAACCCAUGUGUUGCCUGACUGCCAUGGGGGAGAGGAGCAGCUGGCUUGAGUCCCCCAGCUGACCUAGGAAAUCUGACACCCCCGCCUUCCACAGAUUAAAGACACUCUCCAGCCUUCCUCUUUCCCCCACUGACGAUGGAAGAAAAUGAUCUGGAAUAUUUAAGCACUGGCUUGGCCUCGUCAGCACUGGUUCUCUACUCUGCUGACCCUGUCCGCCAGAUCUCCCUUGACUCCACCUCCAGAACAAGACCUGAUUUCACGAGAGCAGGGUUGCCUGCUGCAUCCCAAUGUGGCGGCUUUUCAUCAUGUGCUAUGGACACUCCAUGGUUGACUCCGCAGGAAGCCGACUGUUCGAGAACGUGCAAAACGUUCUCUUAAAUAGCAGAAAGCCUUGUGCCUAGAUACAUUUACCUGUUAACAUGGAAGCGGUUCUCCUCGUGGUCUCAGAAUAAGAACGUGUUCUGGACUGUUUGUUCCGCCUGAAACAAGAAGUCCUGGAUGUUAGUUCCGUCAGAGCUCACUAGCAGCUCUCUCUGCUUUCCAGCCUCAAAGUGCAGGUCGCUCAGGAUUUUCCAAUUGCACGUAAGUUAGGUACUUGACGGAUCUGGAUAGACUCUCUCCGCAGGUGGCAGAUUUAAUCCUUGGAAUUUCAAUCUACUGUUAUCAGGGUCGAGUGUCCAACCUUUGAAUGAAUGGCUGCCUGAUCUUUACUUCAUCUUUCCACGAAAGGGGUGUUUGGGGUAGGAAUUACUCUGUGAGAAGAGUGGGGGAGUAUGAGCCUUGGUAGCUGACCCUCCUUACCGUACCAUUUAGGCUGAGAGGAGAGCCCUAACUAAGGGCAGGACAGGAGCGGCGUCUACAAAACCAGGGGGCUGGUAGCAGAAAGAGGCUGCAGGGAGGAGAGCUGCAGUCACUGUCCCUGGGGUAAGGGAGAGAAAGGGGCAUUGGCCCCAAGAGGAAGGGUCUGUCUAGUAGACCAGAAGGACAUAAGGGUUUAGCUAGGAUGGACAAUGCAAGCCUGGGAUAGGCAAGGUAGGGAGUAGUCUAGGGAUGAGGCAGGAAGGUUUGGGGUAGUUGCUGGAGAUAGGACCCCUGGACUGGAACCCAGAAUAGAGGGUGGGCCUGGGUUCCCCUACAGCCCCUGAAAGAGUGGCAUGAUCUGGGCAGUGAUCGUGAAGACCGUCUGGGAAGGUUCAUCCCAGUCACUGAGGGAGUGUGGCUCAGCCAGGAGUGUGCCUAGGAUGCUGUGGAGGACUUUGUAGAACCUCGGAAGGGGAGGACCAUUGUGUACUUGGUUGGAGGGCUAAGCCCUGAAGACGAGGCACUGCAGCUCCUGAGGAGCAAGAGAGGGGCCCCAGAGCAAGACAGGCCAAGGAACAGCAAGAAGAGGGUGUCUGGCUGAAAGAGCUAAGCCCCAGAGGUGACUGGCAAACCCAAUGACAGCAGCAGAACUGGAUGCAGGAUUCCAGCAGCAGUCACCCCAGUGCCGAAUAUACAGGUAAAAUCAUCUCUCUCUCUCCUACUCCAGAUUCCUGUUUAUGCAUCCCAGAAUCCCAUUAGCCCUUUUGGCUGCAGCCUUGCACUGGGAUCUCAUGUUCAGGUGAUUAUCCUUCACAACCCCCAAGUCUUUCACAGACUCACUGCUUCCCAGGACAGAGUCCUCCAUCCUGCAGGUGCGGCCAAUAUUCCUUGUUCCUAGAUGUAUACAUUUAUGUUUAGCCAUAUUCAAAUGAAUCUGGUUUGCUUGAAACCUGUAUCAGUGACCUGUAAUCUUCAUUAUUUACCACUUCCCUAAUCUUUGCAUCAUCUGCAAACUUUAUCAGCAAUGAUUUUGUUUUCUUCCAAGUUGUUGAUAAAAAUGUUAAAUACCAUAGGGCCAAAAACUGAACCCUGGGUGACCCCCCACUAGAAACACACUCGUUCAAUGAUGUUUUCCCAUUUAUAAUUACAUUUUGAGAUAUGGCACUUAGCCAGUUUUUAAUCCAUUUAGCAUGUGACAUGUUAAUUUUGUAUUAUGCUAGCUUUUAAUCAAAAUAUGAUACCAAGUGAAAUGCCUUACAGAAGUCUAUUACACCAAUACUAUCAUCUUUAUCAGCGAAACGUGUAAUCUCAUAAAAAAGAUAUUAGGUUGGUUUGUCAGGAUCUAUUUUGCAUAACCCUAUGUUGACGGACAGUUAUUACAUUGCCCUCUUUUUAUUCUUUAUUAAUUUGUUCCUGUAUCAGCUGCUUCAUUAUCUUGUCCAGGAUUGAUGUUAGACUGACAGGCCUAUAAUUACCCAGAUUAUCCAGUUUAAUUAUUGGCACAACAUUCACUUUCUUCCAGUCUUCCGGGGCAUCCCCAAUUUUCUGAGAUGUAUUCAACAUCAUUAAUGGUCCAGCAGUUCCUCAGUCCACUCUUUUAAAACUCUUGGAUGGAAGUUAUCCAGGCCUGCUGAUUUAAAAAUGUCUAAUUGUGGUAGCUGCUGUUUAAAAUCCUGCUGAGAUACUAGUUGAAUGGAAAGAGUCAUCAUCAUAUUUUACAACUACAUCAUACAGCUUUUUCCCAAAUACAGAACUGAAAUAUUUACAGAACACUUUUGUUAUUUCUGGCAUUAUUAUUGAUCAUUCUAUUUCCAUCUAGUAAUGGACUGAUAACAUGUUAUGGUUCUUUUUGUUUCUAGUAUAUUUUAAAAACGUAUUGUCCUUAACUCUCUUGGCAAUAGAUUUUUUUUCCCUUGGGUCAUAGAUUCAUAGAUUCUAGGGUCAGAAGGGACCAAUGUGAUCAUCUAGUCCGACCCCCUAUCAGUUUUCUACUAUUCCUAGCUUAUGAUUUCUAUCCAUUACUAUCAACCUGCCUUGUCUUCCAUUUCUUAAAAUAUAUAUAUAUAUUUUGAUUAAUUACUGACUUCAGUUUCCUCUAAGUUAGGUUGGUUUUUUAGCCAGUGUGGUCUUUCUUGAUUGUGACGACUUUGGGUAUCUAGUGAAACGUUUUUAAACAAUUCCUAAAUCUCAUUCCAAAUGGUUUUUAAUGGAGGGACAAGGACUGGGGUGUGAUUGUGGCUAGGCAAGGCAGGACGAGUGAGGCAAUGGGGGUUGUCUGGCGGGGUGGAGGGGGAUGGGUGAGGUGAUGGGGGCUGUUUUUUGCUAGGCAGGGGGGAUGAGCGAGGCACUUUGUGUCCUCAUCUAUGGAGAACAGUCCUGGCCCCACUGGACACUGCCAUUGCACAUGGGAGCAUGUGCCCAUCUAAAGUGGAAUACGCUGGCCCAGCAGCUGUAGGAGCAGUUCCUGGUGGGUCAGUUCCAGUUCGUCUCGCUGUUCCACUUUUCUUUUCAUCUCACUUGUGGAACUGGCCCAACACAAACGUCUUCAUGUGCAAUAAAAAGGGAAGGGGUUUCCUAAACAGUCUUUGGACCUGGGCUGCUGAGCCCAAGCUAGGAGCAUAAAGGUUGCGGGGGGCAGCCACAGCGGAGGGACCCACCCUUGUCCCAUGGCAUUCGCUAUUUGCCAGGCCCAGGGACGUGGGUUUUGGUUUGGCCCCGAGGAGGAGCGUGUGGCCGAGGGGCUAUGUCUGCACAUACGCGGACAGCGAUGUGGCACAGUCAGUCUGCACGACAGGGCUCAGCCAGUCUGUGCCUCUGGGCACCUGGGGGUUACUCCCAGCUCUGCCAUGGGGAACCUGGGUUUGCAGCUGGCCCUGCUAAGGAAUUCCACACCCCCACUGCCCAGAGGCACUGAGCUGUGGCCAUGGGGAAGAACAGAGGGAUGGGGCCCUUGGAGCUGGCUUGGGCCACUUGCAGUGAAGGACUUGAAAAUUAAUUCACACCUUGAAUUUAGUCCACUGGGGCCACCCACAGCCCCCUCUUAUCCCAGCCCUGGGCUCCCGCCACAGCUCUUCCAAAAUCCUGCAAUCCUUCCCCUCAGCCCCCUGCUGUCCCAGCCCUGGGCUCCUCCUACCCCCAGCUGUGCCAGUGCCCCUCAAU